rnacentral:rRNA from 1 species
UCGAGAAUCUUCGGCAAUGGGCGCAAGCCUGACCGAGCGACGCCGCGUGGAGGACGAAGGCCUUCGGGUUGUAAACUCCUGUCGAGGGGGAGGAAGGCGGCGCGAAGAGCGUCGCUUGACCGAUCCCUGGAGGAAGCACGGGCUAAGUUCGUGCCAGCAGCCGCGGUAAGACGAACCGUGCGAACGUUAUUCGGAAUCACUGGGCUUAAAGCGCGUGUAGGCGGCCCGGAGCAUCGUCGGCUGAAAUCCCCCGGCUCAACCGGGGAACGGGCCACGAGAUGUCCGGGCUGGAGGGGGGUAGGGGGAGCCGGAACUCACGGUGGAGCGGUGAAAUGCGUUGAGAUCGUGAGGAACGCCCGUGGCGAAAGCGGGCUCCUGGACCCCGCCUGACGCUGAGACGCGAAAGCCAGGGGAGCGAACGG